AUGUCCCAUCCUACAGAAUUCUGGAAUUCCCACCUAAACGUCCGUGGGCCUCGGGAGUCACCGAAGCCGCAGAAAGACGGGGAGAAGACGACGACGACGGACGUGGUGACCUCGGACCCACCUGCCGCCGCCCCACAGGCGAGUUCCGCAGCUCAGCCGGAUUCGGCCCCCAAGCCGGACCCGGGAAACCCGCUGGAGACGGGAACUCCGUCCGACCCCGAAGACAAACGAGCGGGUUCCAAUCCCACCGUGUUCCACGAGUUCUGUCCAAUCGCGACGCGCAGCCCCCGAGAACUGGACUGCGGCUCGGGCCAGGGCGCGCUCUGUUUCAUCAACCCGCUCUUCCUGCAGUCCCUGAAUCCUCUCUGCAAGCGCCGCAUGUUCAGCCGCAGCCUCCGGGUUCGGAUAUCCACCGAGUCUUCCAGCCUGCUUUCGCCCCCACACGCUCCCCCGCCUCCACCGCCGCUGAUGCCCAAAACCAAAAGGAAAUGUGGCGGGCCGAGACGGGGGCAGGGGGCCGGCGGCGGCGAAGGUGCGUCUCGGGGCGGGAACCCGAGUGAAGCCGGCAGGAUCGAUCACGCGGUUCCGGACACUUUGGGCCUGCCUCCGGCACAGAUGCACAGCGUCCCCGGCGAGGCCCGAGUUCAGCUUCCAGCAGCAACGCCUCACCUCCACCCCGAGAGGCAGCAGGAACCGGGCCCCGACGGCGCCGGAGUCGUCCUCAACUUGGACCACGCGCAGGCCUCCCCGACAGCCGCCUCCUCCACUGUGCCCUCGCUCUCCCCGUACAUUUCUCCCGCGGCGCCUCUCCUUUUCCCCAAAGUCUCCUCGUGCCGCUCCCCUUACGACUCCCCUGGGGCUUCGCCGUCUCUCUCCCCUUAUCAAUCCCCAUCUCUCUCGCCCAAGGCUCCCGUUUCCCUCUCCCCCUACGACUCACCCAGCGCCUCGCCCUCCCUUUCACCGUCCCCGUCUCCCUCUCCAAAGGUCCCCUUCGCUCUGUCCCCCUUCACCUCGCCGUCCUUCCUUCGGCUGGAAGAGCAGGUCUAUCACGCGCCGUCUGCAAGGCCCGACCGGGUGAGAUCUGAGAGAGAGGCGGAGAAGGACGGAGCGGGUCCCGACGAAAGUGGCACAAAAGAGGAGCUGCACAAAAAGAGUGAAGAGGAGGAGAGCGGUCUGGUUUUACAGAUGAAGGCUGCUUCUCUAAAUGACACUGGCGGUCUGCAGGGAGCUGCGGAGACCUCGGCCCACGAACAGGACAAGGCUACAAGCCUCUAG
ensembl:lncRNA